UACGUAGGGGGGCAAGCGUUGUCCGGAAUCAUUGGGCGUAAAGCGCGUGUAGGCGGCUCGGUAAGUCUGUUCUGAAAGUCCAAGGCUCAACCUUGGGAUGCGGAUGGAUACUGCCGAGCUCGAGUCCGGAAGAGGCGAGUGGAAUUCCUGGUGUAGCGGUGAAAUGCGCAGAUAUCAGGAAGAACACCCGUGGCUAAGGCGGCUCUCUAGUACGGUACUGACGCUGAGACGCGAAAGCGUGGGGAGCGAACAGG
rnacentral:rRNA from 1 species